GCUGUGGACACUAGGCUGGCCUGGAACUCACAAUCUUCCUGCCUCAGCCUCCCAAGUGCUGGGAUUACAGGUGUGCACCACCAGGCUCUGCCUUUCCUUCUGAUUUUAUGUAAAUUGAAACACUUUGAAUCAGUUUAGUCAAGACUUCACAGAUGAAGAAACAGGCCUGGCAAAAUUAGGAUCACUGCUGUUAAAUGUAUCUUAAAACACCACUUGGAUCUGCCAUGGCUCCGUUCUCCUCUGUCACCACAUGGUUCCAUCCACCAUUAUCACUGGCCUUGACAGGUGGACAGGCAAUGCUGAGGAAGGCCAAGUUCUGGCAAGCCUGUACCUUGGACAAGUUUACCUCCAUGUACCUCUGUGACUGCACCAAAGUGCUGGGGAUCAAAUGUGGAGCAUGCUAGGCAAGCAUUUGUACCACUGAGCUACACCUUCACCUUUACAGAAGGAUCGUGCUGAAUGCAUUCUUCUGGAACUUACCUUUUUUUCUUCC